ensembl:lncRNA LYPLAL1-DT LYPLAL1 divergent transcript
GCUGCUGGCCCGCUCUCUGAGGAGCUUUCAAUACUUUGGGGUCAAGUUUGAGGCAGUUGUAACUGUACUGAGUUUAGUUUUGCUAAUAAUGGUAUUCUACGUGUGUCAGCCUCGUGUGGACUUCUGUAAUGACUAAUGGAUAUGUUUAUAUCCUGAGCAUUUGCUGUAGGAAUUUUAAAUGCAAUCCCAAAACUCAAGAUUACCUUAUUUGGAGAAAUAUUCGUGUUACUAUGUUUAAAAUUUAAUAGAACCAUAUUUUACCUUUCACUUUGGGACUCGCACAGGAUGUUUGCAGCUCUUGAUAUACAGGAACUAGAACGUGUCUUUUAAGAGCAUGCGGUUUUAUAAUUACGUGGAAGUAUGCUACGCAAGGGAAAAAAGCCUCUUGCUAGUGUUAAGGGUCUUCAUAAACAGAAACCGCAAGGAACCUGGGAUCUGACAGCUGUUGGAGGAAUGCCUGUGAGGAAGGAGGAGGAACAGAAGAAUGCUUUGAUGUCUUAAAUGGUACAUCCAAACUUAAGUGAAAUAGAGCUGUGAGGACAUUUUGGGGAGAAGUGACCUAGAUAAGCACUGACUGUUGCAUUCAUCUCUCUUCUUGCUGAUUGUGAUGAUUUCCUGUGCCAUAGCCAUUCAAAGUCUGCCAAAAAAGAGUGGAGAAGGAGCAGUUUUUCCAUUUCCCUGAAAAGAAUUGAGUGAAGUUGACAGCAGGAUUGCAGAAGUGGGAGGACCCAAGGUCAGCUGAUUCUGUAACUGAAGAGUUGAGUAGCGGAUUAAAUACAGCCUGCUGUUACUGUAAUAAGGAAUGAUUAGGAUCUAGAACAGUUUUCUCUCUUGCAUGGAAAAAAAAGCACCAAUUAGUAUUAAUGAAUCACUGCUUGUAUAAGGCAGCCAGGUUUCUAGUUUCCCCAAAAUACGAGAAUGACCUAAUUUUGCCCAAGAAAUUUUGUUUUCUUAUUAUUAUUACUGUAGUUGCACUUUUUAUAAAUGAAAUCUUUGUAUAAAGGACUAUCUAAAGUUUUUAGGUAUACUGUUUAGAAAUAAUGAUUAAGAGUAUAUUUAAAUUUCUUACAUUAAAUAUAAAUGUACUGAGGCUGAAAACAAGAGCUUAUUUUUGGUUACAUAUCUGAAUUAAACCUGUGUACUCUUAUUUUGGUAGCUUAGUCAAGGAUUGAUUUUAUUGUCUUAAUGGAAGGAGAAAGGAGGAUACUGUUUGUCAGGGACUGUUGAAAUAGUCAUGCUGUUCAUUUGUGGUGUGUGAUAUAAAUGUAAACCUUUCGGAAGGUAAUUUGGCAUAUUUGUCCAAAAGCCUGAAAAAUGUUUGUACUGUUUGAUAAUAUACAAGCAUUUCUAGGAAUAUAUAACUAAGAAAUAAUUAUAGGCACAGGAAAGAUUCACAGUUACAAUGUGUAAAGUUGGAAACAGCCCAAAAUGAUCAACUAGGGAUUCCUGUUACAGAGGAAGAAACUUUCUUCUGUCUUGUUCAGGGCAGUAUCCCAAGUGUCAAAAACAGUGGCUGACUGGCCUGAACACAUGCAUGGAGGGUGCCAGCCCCAUGCCUGCCAGUGCUCUGCCCCCGUGCCACCACCACUACUGGUGCAAACACACCCAUGGAUGCCAGAAGCCCCACACCCCUCUCCCAUGUCACUCUGUCACCACCACCACUGCAAACACCCUGAUGGAGGCCAGCACCCAUGUGCCUGCCAGUGCCACACCUCAGUCAACAAGGGUGCACCCUGCCAUGCUGCUGCUGUUGGUGGUAGUUGCAAAUGAUCACAGAUCCCACUACCAUCACUCAAUGAAGCACUUUGGCUGGCACCACCCAGCAGAAUGUUGUGACCAGUGGUCUGGGAACACCUCAGCCUCUACAGUACAGUAGAUCCCUAACCUCAAGGGGACAGAGAACAAAGCCAGGGGCCUGAUACCAGCUCCCCAGAAUUAGAGGAUGCAGCCCAGGAAUCCUGAGCUGGGGCUUGGCCCCCUAAACCAUUCCAGAAACAAAUCCAGUCAACCAACUCACUUUAUACCACAGUCAAACCCCCAAGGACAUAAAAGAGGUUAAAAGAAAAAAAAAAAAGAACCCAUCCAAAG